UGCAAGUCGAACGCUGAAGCACCAGCUUGCUGGUGUGGAUGAGUGGCGAACGGGUGAGUAAUACGUGAGUAACCUGCCCUUGACUCUGGGAUAAGCCCGGGAAACUGGGUCUAAUACUGGAUGCUACAUGUCACCGCAUGGUGGUGUGUGGAAAGGGUUUACUGGUCUUGGAUGGGCUCACGGCCUAUCAGCUUGUUGGUGAGGUAAUGGCUCACCAAGGCGACGACGGGUAGCCGGCCUGAGAGGGUGACCGGCCACACUGGGACUGAGACACGGCCCAGACUCCUACGGGAGGCAGCAGUGGGGAAUAUUGCACAAUGGGCGAAAGCCUGAUGCAGCGACGCCGCGUGAGGGAUGACGGCCUUCGGGUUGUAAACCUCUUUCAGCAGGGAAGAAGCCACAAGUGACGGUACCUGCAGAAGAAGCGCCGGCUAACUACGUGCCAGCAGCCGCGGUAAUACGUAGGGCGCAAGCGUUGUCCGGAAUUAUUGGGCGUAAAGAGCUCGUAGGCGGUUUGUCGCGUCUGCUGUGAAAGCCCGGGGCUUAACCCCGGGUGUGCAGUGGGUACGGGCAGACUAGAGUGCAGUAGGGGAGACUGGAAUUCCUGGUGUAGCGGUGGAAUGCGCAGAUAUCAGGAGGAACACCGAUGGCGAAGGCAGGUCUCUGGGCUGUUACUGACGCUGAGGAGCGAAAGCAUGGGGAG
rnacentral:rRNA from 1 species